AUUGAACGCUGGCGGCAGGCCUAACACAUGCAAGUCGAACGGUAACAGGAAGAAGCUUGCUUCUUUGCUGACGAGUGGCGGACGGGUGAGUAAUGUCUGGGAAACUGCCUGAUGGAGGGGGAUAACUACUGGAAACGGUAGCUAAUACCGCAUAACGUCGCAAGACCAAAAAGGGGGACCUUCGGGCCUCUUGCCAUCGGAUGUGCCCAGAUGGGAUUAGCUAGUAGGUGGGGUAACGGCUCACCUAGGCGACGAUCCCUAGCUGGUCUGAGAGGAUGACCAGCCACACUGGAACUGAGACACGGUCCAGACUCCUACGGGAGGCAGCAGUGGGGAAUAUUGCACAAUGGGCGCAAGCCUGAUGCAGCCAUGCCACGUGUAUGAAGAAGGCCUUCGGGCUGUAAAGUACUUUCAGCGGGGAGGAAGGGAGUAAAGUUAAUACCUUUGCUCAUUGACGUUACCCGCAGAAGAAGCACCGGCUAACUCCGUG
rnacentral:rRNA from 1 species